rnacentral:lncRNA from 1 species
CUCCGCCCCUAUUGUGGGCCUUGCAAUGUUUGGUUGUCUAUUGCUAUUCGAAGAUAUGGCUCCCACUCAAACAAAGAAUACAUAGCCCAUUGUUGACCUUCAAUCGUUUGCAUCUCUCUUGGUUCUAAGCACCCACUUACAUCCAAUUGUUGUGGAAAGAUGUGGUUCUUUCACCAUUCACCUUGUGGUCUUCUCUCACGUGUUGGAUAUCUUCUUUCA